rnacentral:rRNA from 1 species
GACGAACGCUGGCGGCGUGCUUAACACAUGCAAGUCGAACGAAGUGGCGAACGGGUGAGUAACGCGUAAUCAACCUGCCCUUCAGAGGGGAACAACAGUUGGAAACGACUGCUAAUACCGCAUACUGAAGGAGGGGAUUGCGUCUGAUUAGCUAGUAGGAGGGGUAACGGCCCACAAAGGCGAUGAUCAGUAGCCGGGCUGCAAGGUGGAACGGCCACAUUGGGAAUGAGACACGGCCCAGACUCCUACGGGAGGCAGCAGUAGGGAAUCUUAGGCAAUGGACGAAAGUCUGACCGAGCAACGCCGCGUGAGUGAAGAAGGUUUUCGGAUCGUAAAACUCUGUUGUUAGAGAAGCGGUAUCUAACCAGAAAGCCACGGCUAACUACGUGCCAGCAGCCGCGGUAAUAC